AGUAACGGCGAGUGAAGCGGGAAGAGCUCAAGCUUAAAAUCUCCAUACUUGUAUGGCGAAUUGUAGUCUAUUGAGGCUGUUGUCAGCAUCGCGAUUGGGGACAAGUCCCUUGGAAAAGGGCAGCAUGGAGGGUGAUACUCCCGUCUCUGCUCCAAUUUGCGGUGUGUACGAUACGCUUUCUUUGAGUCGAGUUGUUUGGGAAUACAGCUCAAAGUAGGUGGUAAAUUCCAUCUAAAGCUAAAUAUUGGUGCAAGACCGAUAGCGAACAAGUACCGUGAGGGAAAGAUGAAAAGAACUUUGAAAAGAGAGUUAAAGAGUACCUGAAACUGUUGAAAGGGAACCGUAUCGCUUCCAGUGUUUUAUCUCGUGCAUAUUUCAUUCGCGGAGCAAUUUGCGGGUGCCCUGUGCAUGGGUGUGACGUCAGGGUCAGUUUGUAUGCUGCGGGAGAUGGUCAGUGAGGAGGUGCGUCACUUCGGUGAAAGUUAUAUCUCGCUGUCUAGUAGCCGUGGUUGAGACUGAGGUGCCUACAACAUGCCUUAAAGUUCCGCGUUGUCUCGUGUUGGUGACUGCUUUGAUAGCUUGCUAUGUCUGUGGUUCAUCAAUGCGAUCGGUGGUGUGGAUAACUUUUGCUGUUCGGGACUCUGGCGAAAUGGAGCGAUACGACCCGUCUUGAAACACGGACCAAGGAGUCUAACAUGUGUGCAAGUAUUAGGGCGUGGAAACCCAAAUGCGUAAUGAAAGUAAAUGCUGCUUAUGCAGCUUUGGUAGGAAAGGGCUGUCAAGGUCCUGGCACUAUCGACCGAUCAUGAGCCUACGGGCAAAAGAUUUGA
rnacentral:rRNA from 1 species